CAGUAGCCGCGGUAAAACGGAGGGGGCUAGCGUUGUUCGGAAUUACUGGGCGUAAAGCGCACGUAGGCGGCUUGGUAAGUUAGAGGUGAAAGCCUGGAGCUCAACUCCAGAAUUGCCUUUAAGACUGCCGAGCUAGCAGGUGAGAGAGGUAAGUGGAAUUCCGAGUGUAGAGGUGAAAUUCGUAGAUAUUCGGAAGAACACCAGUGGCGAAGGCGGCUUACUGGCUCAUACUGGACGCUGAGGUGCGAAAGCGUGGGGAGCAAACAGGAUUAGAGACCCGGGUAGUCCCUGUCUCUUAUAC
rnacentral:rRNA from 1 species